ACGCGGGGAGAGCUAGUCCCCCUUCACACUAGCCGAGUGUGGGGUGUAAAUGACGCUGAACAGGCAUGCCCUCCGGAAUAACAAGAGAGGGCCAAUUGGCGUUCAAGAUUCGAUGAUUCAUGAAUUCUGCAAUCAACAUAACUAUCGCAUUUCGUGCGUCUUCAUGGAAGCCAGAAACAAGAGAUCCGUGUGAAAGUUUGAUUCAUUUAUGUUUUACUCAGGGAUUCCCUAUAGAACCAGAGUUUAGUUGCCGCCGGCGGAUGCUUCCUGUUCCCAGGGGCUUUCUUUGAAAAAGGCCGGCUGCGCCGAGGCAACAGUAGGUAUAAGUUCACAAAGGGUUUAUGGGUGCGCCGAGGCGCGUUCCAGCAAAGACGUCCGUAGGGUGAACCUGCGGAGGGAUCAUUGCUGGAACGCGCCUCGGCGCACCCAGAAACCCUUUGUGAACUUAUACCUACUGUUGCCUCGGCGCAGGCCGGCCUUUUUCGAAGAAGGCCCCCUGGGAACAGGGAGCAGCCCGCCGGCGGCCAACUAAACUCUUGUUUCUAUAGUGAAUCUCUGAGUAAAAACAUAAAUGAAUCAAAACUUUCAACAACGGAUCUCUUGGUUCUGGCAUCGAUGAAGAACGCAGCGAAAUGCGAUAAGUAAUGUGAAUUGCAGAAUUCAGUGAAUCAUCGAAUCUUUGAACGCACAUUGCGCCCUCUGGUAUUCCGGAGGGCAUGCCUGUUCGAGCGUCAUUUCAACCCUCAAGCCUGGCUUGGUGAUGGGGCACUGCUCUCUCGCGGGAGCAGGCCCUGAAAUCUAGUGGCGAGCUCGCCAGGACCCCGAGCGUAGUAGUUAACAUCUCGCUCUGGAAGGCCCUGGCGGUGCCCUGCCGUUAAACCCCCAACUUCUGAAAAUUUGACCUCGGAUCCAUGUAGGAAGCCACCAGGCCA
rnacentral:rRNA from 1 species